CAAUAGCGUAUAUUAAAGUUGUUGCAGUUAAAAAGCUCGUAGUUGGAUUUCGGGAUGGCCCGGCCGGUCUGCCGCAAGGUAUGUUACUGGCCGAGCUGUUCUUCUUCGCAAAGACUGUGUGUGCUCUUAACUGAGUGUGCUCAGGAUCUGUGACGUUUACUUUGAAAAAAUUAGAGUGUUCAAAGCAAGCCAGCGCUUGAAUACAUAAGAAUGGAAUAAUGGAAUAGGACUUUGGUUCUAUUUUGUUGGUUUCUGGAACCUUAGUAAUGAUUAAGAGAGACAGUUGGGGGCAUUCGUAUUUCGUUGUCAGAGGUGAAAUUCUUGGAUUUACGAAAGACGAACUACUGCGAAAGCAUUUGCCAAGAAUGUUUUCAUUAA
rnacentral:rRNA from 1 species